ACACGCAUGACACACUGCAUAUCAAUAAGCGGAGGAAAAGAAACUAACUAGGAUUCCCUUAGUAACGGCGAGUGAAGCGGGAAGAGCUCAAAUUUGAAAUCUUCAAGGUUCUACCUUGACGAAUUGUAGUUUAAAGAAGUGUUUUCUGUUGGAGUUUUGGUAAAAGCUCUUUGGAAUAGGACAUCAUAGAGGGUGAGAAUCCCGUAUUUGACCAUUUCUUCCAGCUGUGUGAUACACUUUCAAAGAGUCGGAUUGUUUGGGAAUGCAGUCCAAAAUGGGUGGUAAAUUUCAUCUAAAGCUAAAUACUGGCGAGAGACCGAUAGCGGACAAGUACCGUGAGGGAAAGAUGAAAAGAACUUUGAAAAGAGAGUUAAACAGUACGUGAAAUUGUCAAAAGGGAAGCGUUUGACACCAGUGUUGUUUUUCCGAAAAUCAAUUACGAAUGUUUUGUUUUUGAGAAGUUAUGACUUCAUCGGCUUGCUUCUUUCUUUACGAAACUUUCUUAAUGCACUUUUCGGUUAACAAGUCAACAUCAAUUUCUUUUGUUGUAAAAGGGUCAUUGGAAGGUGGCUUUCUUUUCGGAGAAAGUGUUUAUAGCCUUUGAUCUCUGCAACCGGAGAGACUGAGGUCUGCAGCGUAGACUCUUCGGGGUUAGAUACAUUUGUGCUAAGCUAUAGCUUUUUAUAGACAACUUGUUGACUAUGUUAAGUCUUGUAACUUACUCGCAGUAUGCUAUUUUACCUACGCUUAGGAUGUUGACUGAUAUGUAGUCGUA
rnacentral:rRNA from 1 species